rnacentral:rRNA from 1 species
UCCUACGGGGGGCAGCAGUGGGGAAUAUUGGACAAUGGGCGCAAGCCUGAUCCAGCCAUGCCGCGUGAGUGAUGAAGGCCCUAGGGUUGUAAAGCUCUUUCAGCGAGGAGGAUAAUGACGUUACUCGCAGAAGAAGCCCCGGCUAACUUCGUGCCAGCAGCCGCGGUAAUACGAAGGGGGCUAGCGUUGUUCGGAAUCACUGGGCGUAACGCGCACGUAGGCGGACUUUUAAGUCAGGGGUGAAAUCCCGGGGCUCAACCUCGGAACUGCCUUUGAGACUGGAAGUCUGGAGUCCGAGAGAGGUGAGUGGAACUCCGAGUGUAGAGGUGAAAUUCGUAGAUAUUCGGAAGAACACCAGUGGCGAAGGCGGCUCACUGGCUCGGUACUGACGCUGAGGUGCGAAAGCGUGGGGAGCAAACAGGAUUAGAUACCCUAGUAGUCC